ACGAACGCUGGCGGCGUGCCUAAUACAUGCAAGUCGAACGCUUCUUUUUCCACCGGAGCUUGCUCCACCGGAAAAAGAGGAGUGGCGAACGGGUGAGUAACACGUGGGUAACCUGCCCAUCAGAAGGGGAUAACACUUGGAAACAGGUGCUAAUACCGUAUAACAAUCGAAACCGCAUGGUUUUGAUUUGAAAGGCGCUUUCGGGUGUCGCUGAUGGAUGGACCCGCGGUGCAUUAGCUAGUUGGUGAGGUAACGGCUCACCAAGGCGACGAUGCAUAGCCGACCUGAGAGGGUGAUCGGCCACAUUGGGACUGAGACACGGCCCAAACUCCUACGGGAGGCAGCAGUAGGGAAUCUUCGGCAAUGGACGAAAGUCUGACCGAGCAACGCCGCGUGAGUGAAGAAGGUUUUCGGAUCGUAAAACUCUGUUGUUAGAGAAGAACAAGGAUGAGAGUAACUGUUCAUCCCUUGACGGUAUCUAACCAGAAAGCCACGGCUAACUACGUGCCAGCAGCCGCGGUAAUACGUAGGUGGCAAGCGUUGUCCGGAUUUAUUGGGCGUAAAGCGAGCGCAGGCGGUUUCUUAAGUCUGAUGUGAAAGCCCCCGGCUCAACCGGGGAGGGUCAUUGGAAACUGGGAGACUUGAGUGCAGAAGAGGAGAGUGGAAUUCCAUGUGUAGCGGUGAAAUGCGUAGAUAUAUGGAGGAACACCAGUGGCGAAGGCGGCUCUCUGGUCUGUAACUGACGCUGUGGCUCGAAAGCGUGUGGAGCUAACAGGAUUAGAUACCCUGGUAGUCCACGCCGUAAACGAUGAGUGCUAAGUGUUGGAGGGUUUCCGCCCUUCAGUGCUGCAGCUAACGCAUUAAGCACUCCGCCUGGGGAGUACGACCGCAAGGUUGAAACUCAAAGGAAUUGACGGGGGCCCGCACAAGCGGUGGAGCAUGUGGUUUAAUUCGAAGCAACGCGAAGAACCUUACCAGGUCUUGACAUCCUUUGACCACUCUAGAGAUAGAGCUUCCCCUUCGGGGGCAAAGUGACAGGUGGUGCAUGGUUGUCGUCAGCUCGUGUCGUGAGAUGUUGGGUUAAGUCCCGCAACGAGCGCAACCCUUAUUGUUAGUUGCCAUCAUUUAGUUGGGCACUCUAGCAAGACUGCCGGUGACAAACCGGAGGAAGGUGGGGAUGACGUCAAAUCAUCAUGCCCCUUAUGACCUGGGCUACACACGUGCUACAAUGGGAAGUACAACGAGUCGCAAAGUCGCGAGGCUAAGCUAAUCUCUUAAAGCUUCUCUCAGUUCGGAUUGUAGGCUGCAACUCGCCUACAUGAAGCCGGAAUCGCUAGUAAUCGCGGAUCAGCACGCCGCGGUGAAUACGUUCCCGGGCCUUGUACACACCGCCCGUCACACCACGAGAGUUUGUAACACCCGAAGUCGGUGAGGUAACCUUUUGGAGCCAGCCGCCUAAGGUGGGAUAGAUGAUUGGGGUG
rnacentral:rRNA from 1 species